GCACACUUUAGCAAUAACACCUUGCCCUGCCACACCCCCACGGGCCCACAGCAGUGAUUAAUAUUAAAUAUAAGCGAAAGCUUGAUUUAGUUAGAGUAAUACUUAGGACUGGUAAAUUUCGUGCCAGCCACCGCGGUUAUACGAAAAGCCCAAAAUAGUGACUUACGGCGUAAAGCGUGGCUAGAUGUAAUUAAAACUAAGGAUAAACCUUUUCUUUGCUGUAAAACGCCUAAGACAAAAUGAAUAACAACCCUUAUAUUUAUUAACUCCACGAAAGCUAAGAUACAAACUGGGAUUAGAUACCCCACUAUGCUCAGCCCUAAACCUAGAUAACUAUUUACCACUUAUCCGCCAGAGAACUACAAGCAAAGUACUUGAAACUCAAAGGACUUGGCGGCAUUUCAUAUCAACCUAGAGGAGCCCGUCCAAUAAUCGAUAAUACACGUUUAACCUUACCAUUUUUGGCCCCUCCAGCCUAUAUACCGCCGUCGUCAGCUAACCUUGUGAAAGAAUAAAAGUAAGCAAAAUAGCCCCCACUAAAACGUCAGGUCAAGGUGUAGCUCAUAAAAUGGAUGCGAUAGGCUACAUUUUCUUUUUUAGAAAACACGAACAUUACAAUGAAACCUUGUAAAAGAAGGCGAAUUUAGAAGUAAACUAAGACAUGAUUCUUAAUUUAAUACCGUCUGAAAUGCGCACACACGGCGC
rnacentral:rRNA from 1 species